rnacentral:rRNA from 1 species
CACGUAGGGUGCGAGCGUUGUCCGGAAUUAUUGGGCGUAAAGAGCUCGUAGGCGGUGUGUCGCGUCGGCCGUGAAAACCUGCAGCUUAACUGUGGGCUUGCGGUCGAUACGGGCAUCACUGGAGUUCGGCAGGGGAGACUGGAAUUCCUGGUGUAGCGGUGAAAUGCGUUGAGAUCGGAAGGAACGCCCGUGGCGAAAGCGAGCUCCUGGACGUUUUCUGACGCUGAGACGCGAAAGCCAGGGGAGCGAACGGG